UCGUCUCUUGAACAAGGUCACUUUCUCUUUCACUAGAGAUUUCUGUGAAUAUUUUUGGACGUGAAUUUGCAGUGACCCAUUCGAAGCGGUUUGGAGUUUUGGGAUUUGUUUUUCUCUUGGGGUGGUGUUACUAUUAGAGUUCCGGCUCAAGGUGUUGAUAAUACGAAGAAGUCAG